GAUGAACGCUGGCUACAGGCUUAACACAUGCAAGUCGAGGGGCAGCAUGCCGGUUGCUUGCAACCGGUGAUGGCGACCGGCGCACGGGUGAGUAACGCGUAUCCAACCUUCCCGCGACCAAGGGAUAACCUGCCGAAAGGCAGACUAAUACCUUAUGUCCUCCUUUGAAGGCAUCUGACGAGGAGCAAAGAUCCGUCGGUCACGGAUGGGGAUGCGUCCGAUUAGCUUGUUGGCGGGGCAACGGCCCACCAAGGCUUCGAUCGGUAGGGGUUCUGAGAGGAAGGCCCCCCACACUGGAACUGAGACACGGUCCAGACUCCUACGGGAGGCAGCAGUGAGGAAUAUUGGUCAAUGGGCGGAAGCCUGAACCAGCCAAGUAGCGUGCAGGAUGACGGCCCUACGGGUUGUAAACUGCUUUUAUGCGGGGAUAAAGUUGCCCACGUGUGGGUUUUUGCAGGUACCGCAUGAAUAAGGACCGGCUAAUUCCGUGCCAGCAGCCGCGGUAAUACGGAAGGUCCGGGCGUUAUCCGGAUUUAUUGGGUUUAAAGGGAGCGCAGGCCGCCGUGCAAGCGUGCCGUGAAAAGCAGCGGCCCAACCGCUGCCCUGCGGCGCGAACUGCUUGGCUUGAGUGCGCCGGAAGCGGGCGGAAUUCGUGGUGUAGCGGUGAAAUGCUUAGAUAUCACGAAGAACCCCGAUUGCGAAGGCAGCCCGCUGUGGCGCCACUGACGCUGAGGCUCGAAGGUGCGGGUAUCGAACAGGAUUAGAUACCCUGGUAGUCCGCACGGUAAACGAUGGAUACCCGCUGUCCGGCCCGUAUGGUCUGGGCGGCCAAGCGAAAGCGUUUAGUAUCCCACCUGGGGAGUA
rnacentral:rRNA from 1 species